rnacentral:tmRNA from 1 species
GGGGGUGAUCCGGUUUCGACGGUAUGGUCGAAGCGCUUGUUGCAUCUCGCGGCGGAGCUAACCGCGUUACAAACUGGCCACAACCACAGUUGGCAACACCAACUUUGAACUGGCUGCUGCUUAAUCCAGCAACCCGUGAAACUGCCGCCCGGUCCCGAGGCGUCAGCGUAGCGUAAACUUUUCGGGCUGGCCUGCAGGACGCCCGACCUGCGGGUGAGAUAAGGGCUGCUGGCCGUUCUCCGAGUGUCAACGGAUGCGGGGUCCGGUCCAAAGACAAUCCCGAUGACUAUGGAUGUAGACGCAGGCAGGGACAUCAUAUCGGACGGGGGUUCGACUCCCCCCACCUCCACCA